rnacentral:rRNA from 1 species
CACGCAGGCGGCUUUUUAAGUUUGACGUGAAAACUCCUAGCUUAACUGGGAGAGGACGUUGAAGACUGGAAGGCUUGAGGCAAUGAGAGGGGUGCGGAAUUCCCGGUGUAGUGGUGGAAUGCGUAGAGAUCGGGAGGAACACCAGUGGCGAAAGCGGCACCCUGGCAUUGGCCUGACGCUCAGGUGCGAAAGCGUGGGGAGCGAACG